rnacentral:rRNA from 1 species
CCUACGGGAGACAGCAGUGGGGAAUAUUGGACAAUGGGGGGAACCCUGAUCCAGCGACGCCGCGUGAGUGAAGAAGUAUUUCGGUAUGUAACGCUCUAUCAGCAGGGAAGAAAAUGACGGUACCUGACUAAGAAGCCCCGGCUAACUACGUGCCAGCAGCCGCGGUAAUACGUAGGGGGCAAGCGUUAUCCGGAUUUACUGGGUGUAAAGGGAGCGUAGACGGUGCAGCAAGUCUGAUGUGAAAGGUCGGGGCUCAACCCCGGGACUGCAUUGGAAACUGGUGAACUGGAGUACAGGAGAGGUAAGCGGAAUUCCUAGUGUAGCGGUGAAAUGCGUAGAUAUUAGGAGGAACACCAGUGGCGAAGGCGGCUUACUGGACUGUAACUGACGUUGAGGCUCGAAAGCGUGGUGAGCAAACAGGAUUAGAUACCCGAGUAGUC